rnacentral:sRNA from 1 species
ACCUCUGAAUUUAUGUGUGUUCAGUUGGCUCUUUUUCUUCCUUGCUCUUUGUUCAAAUUAAGCAUGCAGCUAUUUUUACAGUGGGCUUAGUUAUUAUUCAGGAAUUAACUCUGCUCUAAUAUAUGGCACACUUUAAUUUGUUGAAGACUGUCAUUUUAAAUGGUGUAUCAGAAGUAAUUAGUGAAAAAAUAUUUUUGAAGGAUGGAAAGAUUAAAAUUUUCUGGGUAGUUUCUGGAUAGAGAUUUUAUUUCUAAGAACAAAAUACAAUAUAAUGCAAAUUCUAUAAAUAUAAUAAAUAGAGUAUGUAAACCAAUGAAAAAUCUCUGAAUGUCACCUUAAAUAAAUUAAAGUUUAGUUGAUAUGGGUUUCUUUUAAUAGGUCCGAGUGGACAGAUGAAUUAAACACGUACAGAGUGGAAGCAGCUUGGAAAUUGUCACAGUGGGAUUUGGUGGAAAACUAUUUGGCAGCAGAUGGAAAAUCUACAACAUGGAGUGUCAGACUGGGACAGCUAUUAUUAUCAGCCAAAAAAAGAGAUAUCACAGCUUUUUAUGACACACUGAAACUAGUGAGAGCAGAACAAAUUGUACCUCUUUCAGCUGCAAGCUUUGAAAGAGGCUCCUACCAACGAGGAUAUGAAUAUAUUGUGAGAUUGCACAUGUUGUGUGAGUUGGAGCAUAGCAUCAAACCACUUUUCCAGCAUUCUCCAGACCAGAUUACAAUGAAAUGGUUGGAGAAUGCUGGCUGCAGAGUGCCAGAGUAGCUAGAAAGGCUGGUCACCACCAGACAGCCUACAAUGCUCUCCUUAAUGCAGGAGAAUCACGACUCGCUGAA